UGAGUUGAGAUUGCACCACUGCACUCCAGCCUUGUCGACACAGCGAGACUCCCUCUAUAAAAAUAAAAUGCUCUGUAACUGUCCUGAAAGGUUUGUGGAAUAAUUAUUUUUUACUGAAAAACUUAACUUUAAUCAGUAGAUUGAAAUUGUGCUGCCAGACAGACUGUAUGUUCUAAUUUUAAACUUUAUGUUCACUGGCAACAAUUAGAAUGACUAUUACUGGAUUAAUAUGAAAGUGAGGGCGAUUGGAAGGUGAGGCGGUCCCGGUGUUCUCACGUCCCAGGUGAUUGUGAAGUGCUGACCAGUUGCCACUGGACAUCAUUGAAACACAAUAGGAAAAUUGCAGCAAACUCUUCAGGACAAGGUUUUCAAAACAAGUUGCAAUCUUGGCAGAACUGGACAAAGAGAAAAGAAAACUACUUAUGCAGAACCAGUCUUCAACAAAUCAUCCUGGAGCUAGCAUUGCACUCUCGAGACCCUCUUUUAAGGACUUCCAGGAUCACGCUGAGCAGCAGUAUAUUGCAGCCCAGCAGAAGGCAGCUUUGCAGCAUGCUCAUGCACAUUCAUUUGGAUACUUCAUAAUUCAAGACUCUGCAUUUGGGAACCUGACUGUUCCUGUUUACCUCGCCUUGAUCCAGAAUGAAGAAAAUAUUUGUGAUGGAAAAGUGAUUUUGUAAUAUCAAAUGCCAAAGCUACUAUCAUUCAGUGCUAGAUGAACUGUGACUUUAAGAAUUUUGGUGAACUUUGAUGUUUUUUGUUCGUUAAAGGAGUGUGCAAGUGAAAGCGGAAAGAAGGGUAACCAGGAUGAUGAGAGCUGUGGAAGCUGUAUCGUCCAAGGAAUUGAUUAUGUACCAUGACUGUUACUCUUUGUAAUGCUGUUUUAACUCUCAAUCAUGCUCUGAAUUGGAUAGUCACAAAAACAUUCCCCAACCCCUAACAAGUUUGACUGAAUAUAUCAUGCCCACAGUAGAUUUUCAAGAAUCAUUUAUAGUACUUAACUUUAAAGAAAGAAGAGUACUUUUUAAAAAUGAACCAAUAGGCUUAAAUCAGUUACAUCCAUAUUUGCUGUUUAUAGGAUUGGUGUCAGUGUCCCUUUUGAGUUUACAGUCAACCUGUAUCAUCCUGAAAUAUUCUUUGUGAACUCAUAACUACUUCCCCCUUUCUCAUUUUAAAACAAACCCCAAGAAUAAAUCACUAACCAGUCUUAACCAUCUUCUAUAAACAUAUUCCCUUAUAAAUGAUGUGACUAAAUGCAAUUUAAAAUAAUAGAAAAAAAAGGAAAGUGAGAAUAGGAGAUUGUAAUAUCCAUUUUAACUGAGCGAUCUUUUCAGAAGAUAUAAAAUGAAAUUAUUUUAUAACAUUUAAAAGGAUUUUCAAGUUUUAUAUUUUUGUCUAUGUGCUGCUUUAUAGACUAAGAAGGGGACAGCACAAAUAUUAUAAAUAUUUCAAGGAUAUUAUAUAAAGCAGUAAAAUUAUUGAACAUUAUAUUGGUUUGCUAGGGCUGCUAUAACAAAGUACCACACGCUAGGUGGCUUAAACAGUAGAAAUUUGUUGUCUCAGUUCUGAAGAUUAGAAGUCUGAAGUCAAGGUAUCUCCAAAUACAGUCACAGUCUGAGCAUGGUGGCUCAUGCCUGUAAUCCUAGCACUUUGGAAGGCUGAGCAGGGGGAUUGCUUGAGCCCACCCUGGGCAACAUAGUGAGACCUAAUCUGUACUAAAAAUCAGAAAAAUUAGCUAGACAUGGUAGCGUGCACCUGUAGUCCCCGCUACUUGAAGGCUGAGGUGGGAGGAUUGCUUGAGCCUGGGAGUUUGAGGCUGCAGUGACCUAUGAUCAUGCCACCGCACUACUGUCUGGGUGACAGAGUGAAACUGCGUCUCAAAACAAAACACACAUAGUCAUGUUCUGAGGUACUAAGCACAGUGUGGGAGCAGGUGGGGGGCAAAAUUUAACCCAUAAAAAAGUCAUCCAAGUUUGUUACUACCUGAUUUUACUGCCUAAUAUUCUCUCUUCUACUGUAGAUAAUAUAUAUAUGAGAUUUCUUUAGAAAAAUAAAACAUCAGUAGAUUUCUUAAA